rnacentral:SRP_RNA from 11 species
AUCAUGGCGCGUUCCAUGAGGUUUCAGCCAUCGGGGGUAUGAACGUCGCGCAGCUCUUUGAGCGCCUGGCCAGCACAAUUGCGGAAACUACGUUUGGCUUGGAAGGGAACAGCCCGAGA